GGCGAACGGGUGAGUAACACGUGGGUAACGUGCCCCGGACACUGGGAUAGCCACGGGAAACCGUGGUUAAUACCGGAUAACCCCUACACACCGCAUGGUGCGAUGGGCAAAGCUCCGGCGGUCUGGGAUCGGCCCGCGGUGUAUCAGCUUGUUGGUGGGGUAACGGCCUACCAAGGCUAUGACGCAUAGCUGGCGUGAGAGCGUGGCCAGCCACACUGGGACUGAGACACGGCCCAGACUCCUACGGGAGGCAGCAGUAGGGAAUCUUGCGCAAUGGGCGAAAGCCUGACGCAGCGACGCCGCGUGAGGGAUGAAUGCCUUCGGGUUGUAAACCUCUUUCAGCAGGGACGAAGCCUCACGGUGACGGUACCUGCAGAAGAAGCCCCGGCCAACUACGUGUCAGCAGCCGCGGUAAUACGUAGGGGGCGAGCGUUGUCCGGAUUUAUUGGGCGUAAAGCGCGCGUAGGCGGCUACCCAAGUCGGAUGUGAAAGCUCAGGGCUUAACCCUGAGAUGCCAUUCGAUACUGGGUAGCUAGAGGCAGCUAGGGGAGGGUGGAAUUCCUGGUGUAGCGGUGAAAUGCGCAGAUAUCAGGAGGAACACCGGUGGCGAAGGCGGCCCUCUGGGGCUGUCCUGACGCUGAGGCGCGAAAGCUGGGGGAGCGAACAGGAUUAGAUACCCUGGUAGUCCCAGCCGUAAACGUUGAGUGCUAGGUGUGGGGAGGUCUUCAACCCUCUCUGUGCCGCAGCUAACGCAUUAAGCACUCCGCCUGGGGAGUACGGCCGCAAGGCUAAAACUCAAAGGAAUUGACGG
rnacentral:rRNA from 1 species